UCAGACACAGGUGCUGCAUGGCUGUCGUCAGCUCGUGUCGUGAGAUGUUGGGCUAAGUCCCGUAACGAGCGCAACCCUUGUCCUUAGUUACCAGCACGUUAUGGUGGGCACUCUAAGGAGACUGCCGGUGACAAACCGGAGGAAGGUGGGGAUGACGUCAAGUCGUCAUGGCCCUUACGGCCAGGGCUACACACGUGCUACAAUGGGGGGUACAAAGGGUUGCCAAGCCGCGAGGUGGAGCUAAUCCCAUAAAACCUCUCGUAGUCCGGAUCGGAGUCUGCAACUCGACUCCGUGAAGUCGGAAUCGCUAGUAAUCGUGGAUCAGAACGCCACGGUGAAUACGUUCCCGGGCCUU
rnacentral:rRNA from 1 species